ACGAGUUCAUAGACCUGAUUUAGCGGUUGAGUGACAGCUGCCAUUUGAACCCUGACCUUCUGACUCAUAUCCUGACCACCAGGCUGUCCCAUAGCACAAGGAAGGACUGCUUUACUUAGCAUAGGCUGACUAGCCAAGAGCCGUCUCAGCACAGAGCAGGUGCUAGGGGCAGGUAUUCAAAAUGGCCAAUAUCUGGAGUCGUCAUGGCUCAGCGGAAACAAACCUGACUAGUAUCCAUGAGGAUGCAGUUUUGAUCCCUGGCCCCGCUCAGUGGGUUAAAGAUCUAGCAUUGCCAUGAGCUGUGGUGUAGGUUGCAGACGCAGCUUGGAUCCCUUGUUGCUGUGGCUCUGGCGUAGGCCGAUUUGACCCCUCGCCUGGGAAUUUCCAUAUGCCACAGGUUCAGCCUUUAAAAAAAAAAAAAAAAAAGGCCAAUAUCUGCUUGGGAUAAGGUAGAGUUUCCCAGCUGGGGAGCUAACCAGCAGUGGGACAUGCUGCCUUAAGGGGUCCAGAGGCCAGUGGGGUCAUCCUGUGUAACCAGAAAAGAACUAAGGUGGUUCUUCCCGACUCCUCCACCCUGUGACUUUGCCUUCCUUAAGCAGGGUGUUUGCAUUCUGACUGGACUUUUCCUCUGGGACCCCCCUCCAAGUCCUGUCACCGUUGCACAGAUGCCCCACAGCAUGUGUUCCUCCUUUCUCCAGGUCAGCCCCUCGGCUGGCACCUUGCCCUGGUGUCCACACACCUGAAGGCAAGAGGCUCGUGGUGAAGUGAAUGCCUGGACAUUGGAGGCUAGGAACCUGGAUUCUAGCCCAUGUGUGGCCACUGAUGUCCUAGGGACUUCAGGAAAGGAGAGAAAUUUUACCAAAGGCCUGCAGCACUCCAGCACUCACAGAGAAAUUCCCAGGCCAGGGCCUCAAACCCUUCCCACAGCAGUGACAACGCUGCAUCCUUAACCUGCUGAGCCACCAGGGAACUCCAUCAUGAGUCUUUUAAUCUUGCCAACAUCACUGCUGGGAGGUAUUGGCUUGUUCCCCCGUUUUGCAGUUUCAGAAAUUAAGUCCCUUGCCUAAGAACUCAGGGCAGAUAAGUAGGCAAGUCCACAUUCUGACACAAGCCUGUCUGAUUCUCCAUUGCCCCCCCCCCCACCUCUAAAAUCACUUCCCUUUUCUAAGCCAGUGCCUCCCACCCCUGACCACGCUUGUCUCCACCCACACUGAGCCCCGCACUGUUCUGGAACAUAGCUGUGAGCAAGGUCCCUGCUCUCGUGGAGCAGACAAGUCAGUGGGGAGCCAGGUAAUAAGUAGAGAUUUGGCACAUUGAAAAGUGACCAGAAAAAUAAGGCAGUAAAGGAGGGGCAUGGUGGGGGGUUGGUACUUGCUGUACAAUGUCAGGUAGAGGGGAGGGCCUCACUCCGAAGAUGGCAAACGAGCUGAUGUGAGGCAGUGAGCCAUAGGGGCAUCUGAGGAAAGAAUUCCAAGUUGAGGGAGCAACCAAGGCAAAGAUCCAGAGGUGGAAAUGUGCCUAGCAUUCCAGAGAAACAGCAGAGCCUCCUUGUGGUUCAGAGAGAGUAAAGAGACAAGGGCACAGAGGGAAUGAGCAGGCCCUUGAGUCACUGUGAGGACUCUGGCUUUUGCUCUGUGCAGGAGGAGCCAGGAGAGGCUUCUGAGCCAGGAGGGAUGGGAUCCACCUCAGGUGUCCACAGGGCUUCUCUGUGGGGAAGAGACUAAAAAGGGGAGCGGGUAGGGCAGGGACCCCGAUCAGGAGCCUCGACCUUCAUGUAGGCUGAGAGGAGGGUAGCCGGAACCAGGCGGGGGCAGCAGAGUGGAAAGGAGUAUUCUGGAUAUAUUCUGAAAGUAGAACCAACAGAAUUUGUUGACAGUUCACACACUGGGUGAGAGAGAAAGCGGGCAACAGGAAGGGGUUUGCUAUUUGAGAUGCGGAAGACUGGUAGAGCAAGUUUGGAGGGGGAGUGAGGAGGUAGGUUUAAGACAUGUUAAAUUUAAGAUGCUUAUUAGAUGUUCUAAGUGAUGACACCCCAUGGUUGAAUACACACAGAGCACAGCAAAUAAUACAAAUAUAUUAAUAGAAAUAAAUUACACAUAAUAUUAUAAUAU
rnacentral:lncRNA from 1 species